rnacentral:rRNA from 1 species
GACGAACGCUGGCGGCAUGCCUAAUACAUGCAAGUCGAGCGGACAGAAGGGAGCUUGCUCCCGAAAGUCAGCGGCGGACGGGUGAGUAACACGUGGGCAACCUGCCCCUUAGAUUGGGAUAACUUCGGGAAACCGAAGCUAAUACCGAAUAAUACAAGGAACCUCCUGGUUCUCUGUUGAAAGAUGGCCUUUGUGCUGUCACUAAGGGAUGGGCCCGCGGCGCAUUAGCUAGUUGGUAAGGUAACGGCUUACCAAGGCGACGAUGCGUAGCCGACCUGAGAGGGUGAUCGGCCACACUGGGACUGAGACACGGCGCAGACUCCUACGGGAGGCAGCAGUAGGGAAUCUUCCGCAAUGGACGAAAGUCUGACGGAGCAAUGCCGCGUGAGUGAGGAAGGCCUUCGGGUCGUAAAGCUCUGUUGUGAGGGAAGAACAUGUACCGGCGUAACUACCGGUACCGUGACGGUACCUCACCAGAAAGCCACGGCUAACUACGUGCCAGCCGCCGCGGUAA